UACAGAGGGGGCUAGCGUUGUUCGGAAUUACUGGGCGUAAAGGGCGCGUAGGUGGCCUGUUAAGUCGAACGUGAAAUCCCCGGGCUCAACCCGGGAACUGCGUCCGAGACUGGCAGGCUCGAAUCCGGGAGAGGGAUGUGGAAUUCCAGGUGUAGCGGUGAAAUGCGUAGAUAUCUGGAGGAAUACCGGUGGCGAAGGCGGCAUCCUGGACCAUAACUGACGCUGAGGCGCGAAAGCUAGGGGAGCAACCGGG
rnacentral:rRNA from 1 species